GGAUUAGAUACCCUGGUAGUCCACGCCGUAAACGAUGUCUACUAGUUGUUGGAAGACUUGAUCUCUUAGUAACGAAGCUAACGCGAUAAGUAGACCGCCUGGGGAGUACGGCCGCAAGGUUAAAACUCAAAUGAAUUGGCGGGGGCCCGCACAAGCGGUGGAGCAUGUGGUUUAAUUCGAUGAUACGCGAGGAACCUUACCUGGGCUCGAACCCUGCUGGACGGUAUCAGAGAUGAUACUUUCUUCGGACUGGCAGGGAGGUGCUGCAUGGCUGUCGUCAGCUCGUGCCG
rnacentral:rRNA from 1 species